rnacentral:lncRNA from 1 species
GAAAAGUCAGGAGAAGGUUCGCACAGCCAAGCCCAGCUCCGGAGGAGCGGGUCCGCUGCAGUUCCGUUCCCCGGGAUCGUUCACCAUCAUUAAUUGUUGAUUUGUUUUGAAGAAGAGAUAGUGAUUUAUUUGCAGCGGGAUGAAGUUACAGACCUAGAUUCCUGACCAGAGGCUCUCAACGUAAACAAUGCACAACCUAUAAAUUAACCAUUCUCCAUCUGGCGAUUCCGAUGUAAAAUUCAUAGUUUUUCACCUCACAGGCAGUGCCAACCCCCUCCCACACACACACACACACACACACACUUCCCUCUCGACUGCUUUCUAACAGAGCUUAAUGCAAAGGGGGAGGGAAAAGGAAGAAAUUUAAAAAAAAAAAAAAAGAAGAAGAAGAAAAAAAAAGCCAGCCAGCAUGAAAGAACCGGGCUGGCACAAGUCCCUCCAUUGCUUUCGUUCAUUAACUUGAACUAGAGAACUGCAUGAGGACAUUCCAAUUUUAAGGACUAACAGAUGGGGAUCUUGGGAAAAAAGCUGACAGCUGAGAAAUGGCAUAGACUUUCAAGACACCCCAGCACAGCAUGCCACUGUGGGAUGAAGAAGGGAUGGAGCUGCACAGAACUGCUUUUGACAGCAAAAAGUUGACUGUUCUACCAACUUCCAUAUCUACAGAUUGCUUCAGAGGAACUGUUGAGCAAAUCCCUUCAUGCAGAUAUCACUGGAGUCUGGAAAAGGGCCAGCAGAACUAACAGAGAAUUUGAAUGGAAGCCAACUGACUUUUUUUAAAAUUUCUAACAUUAAAGGGCAAUAUUUCCCCUUUUUUUACCAUGUCUAUCUGAACUCACUUAAUGCAGUAGGUUUGUGAAAAGGAUCCUUUUGUUUCCAGAGCAGGCACAGUCACUUUUCCCUUGUUUCUCUCCUACAACUCUUGAACAAUUGUAUCAAAAUAUUUUACUAGAAAAACAAUUAUAAUAGGCUACCACAUUCUGUUUCUGUACUAAGCCCUUCACACCAAUAAGGUUUUUGCCACGUAGGAGGGAGAGUUAAUGCCUAUAUGCUCUUCCUACUUGCAAGCAAAGUGAUUUGUUUCAAAGAGAAAAAAAUAGCUCAUUUACUGGUUGGGUUCUUGAAUUGAAUAACUGAAGUUACUAUGAACAUGAGUUACUUUGCAACUAAUUUUAGCAUCUCGUGUCUGAAGUAAGCCACAUGGAAACAGUGACUUAAGAUGGCUGGAAUUUUAGACUCAUGCUGUGAGUUCUGUUGCCAGCGUUGUCUCUUGUAAACAAAAAGCUGAUUAAGAUACGGUGAUGCUCAGAAGGUAUCUUUAACAAAUAUACAGUACUAAUUCUGAAGUUUAGUAAGUAACACUUCAAUAUUAAUGCUAACUAAUCUGACUACCAAAUAUAUCUAUCUGUGUCUGUCUUGUUUUGCCAAUAAAAAUACUGGAGUCUGUAAUUAGUCUGUGAUAUUUUAUUAUUAAAAAACAAACAAACAAAAAAAUGAAGGUGAGAUGUUACUUAUGAGGACCAUGACUGAAGGAAGCAUUUCACGCUGCCUCUUUCUCAUGUAACUAGUUAACAUCUACAGCAGUACACUAUUAAGAUUAAAUGACUUAAAGGAAGUCUUUCUAUUAAAACAGUAACUACUAUGGCCUCCCUGAACAUGCCAUCUCCCCUUAUCUGUAGAUACAUUUUUAUUGCUCACCACUCUUCUCCCUAUGGAAUUCUAAAGACACAUUUGGGAAGAGGGCAAUAAAAUGUUUCAUGUUGCACUACACAAGUAGAAAAUGUCAUUUACAUUGUUAAUGUUCCCAACAGAAUGUGUCUCUUUACUGCUGUUAGAAUUUGUGCUUUAUUUUGGUACCAACUAGUGCAUCUUUUCUGCUUCAGCUACACAGUCUAACCAUCUUGCUGCAUGAUAGAAUUAACACACAAACCUUUAAGGCUUCAAAUACCAGGUAAGUGUGUUGAUUUUGUUAUUGCUUUGUUUAUUGUUGUUGUUUGUUUUACAUCCUAGUGUGGCUUAACUUAGUUUUGUUACCAAGUGUCAUGGAAUCUUCUUGCUAACCACUGUCCACCCCAACUAUCUGUACAAUGUAUGCUUACAACUAAUAUCACCUCAUGCAGACAGUGUCUAAAAACCCACAGUAAUUAGAAAUAUAUAUAUAUUCCUCUCUCAAUGCCUUGCUGACGGUACAGAAUUAGUAUUUUGGGAGUCUGUACCAGCAGUCUUUCUUUCCCUGGUGAUAGCUCAGUUUGUCAGUGAAUUAAAUUAGUUUCUCCUCUGAGAUACCUUUAAUUGAUUUAAAUGCUUUUCACACUUAAUUGAGAUGUAGGAUGGGAGGUUGGAAAGGAGAUUCUGUAAUCUAAACAUGCUUAAGCAAUGCUUUUAGUAUGACAAAAUGGGGAAAAUAUUCAAGAGGGAAAUGCUUUUGUUGUAAGUAGUGUCUGAAAGGUAAAAAUUUCAGUUGUUAAACCUCAAGU